AAGGGAGAACUGGCGGAAAUGACACCAGACGCGGAAGUGUGGUGAGAAGUCAGCAAAGUGUGGGCAACAUGUAAUGUGUGAGACUUACUGAUAUCUGCCCUGUUUGAUGCAGACAUACAUACAGCCCCCCGCUGAAUGGGAUCUCAGUCAACUGGAGCAAUGUGAGGGAGGAAGAGUCCUUUAUUAAAGAAUCUGGUACAUGGAGACCCACAAAGUGAGAAGGUACUUUGUGUCAAAGGGGACACUGAACUACAAUUACAGACUUUAAAUGCUGUCAGGGCUCACUGACACUGAUCAGUAACAAGUAGGGGCUAUGCUGCCAUGAGGACAUGGAGGUCAAACUAGAGCAGCUGCUGAACCGUGUAGAGAGCUUGCAGGAGCAGCCAAUGAUAGUGAUUUUAAUGGCUGGUUGAGGGCACUUUGCUGGGGCUGUUUAUAAGGGGAAGGAGGCGCUAAAGCACAAGACGUUCCAUAGUUACACUGUAAAGGCCAAGAGAGGAACUUCUCAGGCUUUUCAUGACUUUCAGAACCGAGGUCACACAGCCAAAUCUCCAGGCGCAGCUCUUCAAAGAUAUAACCAGGCUGCUCUAAUUGCAGUAAGGAAAAUAUAAGAGUUUGGACUUGAAGAAAUGAUCCACUUCGGAUUCUGUACCCCAGUCAUGCUCAACUUCUGCUUUAUGCAUUGUUGCUGAAAUCCCGAGUAACUUUGCCUGCCUUGAAAGCUUAGAGAGUUUAGAGUUCUGGAGGGUUAACAUAGGCCAGAGCAGCAAUGUCCAAGUCGCAGGCAACAGGAUUUCCUUCCCUGGGCAAAUUUAAAUUGAACAAGACUCUUCUUUAGGAAUGGGUUCCCAGAAGUACCUGGUAUAACCAAAAGGUUAGUGCAGUUAAAGCUUUUCUGGGUUACUGUCUUACAUAGUAUUUACCCAGGCUUCUGAUUUUCUGCACUUCAGCAGAGAAUGGUACUGCUUACUGUGUGCAUAGAUCUCUUACUUCAUGGAAAUCCAACAGAACAUGCAGGAAGGUCCCAGCACCUCUAGCUCAUAUAACAGUUUUGUUUCUUUGUUUGAACUUAGGACAUAAGCAAAUUACUGCAAAGCUGAGCAGAGCAUAUAAGAAAGGCAAUGGGUAUAUACCUUAGGUUUCAGUGCUCUCACAGAACCCUCUUCCUGGGCCAUAAUUCUCCCAUCUUGCAAAAAGAUCCAAGAGGGCAUGGCAUUCCUUUUGUCAUACGGAGAGCAACCUGGUGUAUGGCGAGGUCUGGGAUUAUGUGCAAUUGCCAGAUGGCCAGUGCAAAACUUAGUCCAGAACCCUCUAGUCAAAUCAAACCUCCCAUGCACCACAGUCACCACAAGCCUCCUCAAACCACUCAUCCUUAAAAUUGCUUCUGUGGCUAUGUGACUAUUUUAUGUAAGAUUGAUCUCUGUAGCCCUGUGAAGCCCUACCAUGUUCCUGGGCUCGGAGGUGGUAGCACCGAUUUGUACUUUUUGGUUGACAGAAACAUAAUUACAGAUAAUACAAUUUAAGUGGAUGGGUAAAUCAAUAUACCGCUAUUCUGCUGUCUGGCAAUUUGUCUGCAUAAUGCUGAAGUUGGGCUGUUUAUGACUGCCUUUACAAAUUUCUUCCUUCUUAAA